rnacentral:tRNA from 1 species
GGUCCAUUAGUCUAUCGGCUAGAACACCUCGUUUACACCGAGGAAGGAGAGGUUCGACUCCUCUAUGGACCA